rnacentral:rRNA from 1 species
UACGUAGGUGGCGAGCGUUGUCCGGAAUUACUGGGUGUAAAGCGCGUGUAGGCGGCAGGCCAAGUCGGUGGUGAAAGCGCCCGGCUCAACUGGGCGAGGUCCAUGGAAACUGGUCAGCUGGAGGACGGUAGAGGCGAGUGGAAUUCCGUGGUAGUGGUGAAAUGCGUAGAGAUCGGGAGGAACACCUGUGGCGAAGGCGGCUCGCUGGGCCGGUCCUGACGCUGAAACGCGAAGGCGUGGGGAGCGAACAGG